GGUUUGCUGCCCGGUGCGACAGGUCUUCAUAAUCCUGGGAGCCUAAAUUUCAUUGAGGGAACUGUCCCUGUCCGGACCCUGGUCCGGGUAUAUGGUGCCCACCUGGUUGUCAGGGCUUCAAUGGAUUUGAAACAGACCACCGGCCAUGGCGGCGCCGUC
rnacentral:other from 1 species